CAGAAUUCAAAAUGAACAAGCUGAAAAAAAAGACGUGCGACUCCCAAGAGCUAAUGAAGUUGAUACAAGUCAUUCAUAAUAAAAUUGAUGUUUUGUCUGAAACCAUUAACAAAAUUAAUAAUGAAAUUAUUAGCAACAAAACAACAAUACAAAAUGAAUUAAAAGAUAUUAAGAACCAAAACACAAUAAUAUUAGACGUUUUGACAGAAAAUACCGCUGCGAUGAAGAGUUGCAUAAAGAAUAACAUCCCAAAAUAUACAAAAACUUUUCCGAUUUCUUCUGCAGAUGAGUUUUAAAAGGUAGAAGAAACUCUCAAUGAAGAAAACGAAAAGGAAUAUAUCGCAUCAAUUAGAGCAAUUUGUGGUCAACGUGGCAUUAAAAAAGGAUUGAGAGAUAUCAUAAAACCCGGAGUUUUGGAUUUAUAUAAUUUAGAUGGAACUCACAACAAAUUGCGUCUCUUAAAUUUUCCAAAAUUUAUACAUGUUUUAUUUGCUGGUACCUAUUGUGAAGGCAAUACCGAUAAAGCAUUCAAAUCGGACAUUAGAGAUGCUUUAAAAAUAGCAAAAAAUCGCUAUUGCAAGGAAAAAAAGAAAUCUGCUGCAUCCAAA